rnacentral:rRNA from 1 species
UGUUCGUUAUUUAGGGCGCAUGGUGGAUGCCUUGGCAUGCUGAGCCGAUGAAGGACGUGAAAGGCUGCGUUAAGCCUCGGGGAGUUGUCAAUUGAGCGUUGAUCCGAGGAUGUCCGAAUGGGGAAACCUGGCACCUGUUAUGGGGUGUUACCCUUCAGUGAAUUCAUAGCUGUUGUGGGGGUUACGCGGGGAAGUGAAACAUCUCAGUACCCGUAGGAGAAGAAAAUAAUAAUGAUUCUGCUAGUAGUGGCGAACGAACGUGGAUGAGGCUAAACCGUGUGCAUGUGAUACCUGGUAGGGGUUGUGUGUGCGGUGUUGUGGGCCCUGAUGAGGAUGGCUACUGACGUCCUGCCCGCGCAUUGUUGUUAGGUGAAGUGGUGUGGAAACGCCUGCCGUAGAAGGUGAUAGUCCUGUAGCUGAAGAUGAUGGUGUGUGGGUUGUUGGGUUGCCCGAGUAGCAGCGGGCUCGUGGAAUCUGCUGUGAAUCUGCCGGGACCACCCGGUAAGCCUAAAUACUCAGUGUGACCGAUAGUGGAUAGUACCGUGAGGGAAUGGUGAAAAGUACCCCGGGAGGGGAGUGAAAUAGUUCCUGAAACCAUGUGCUUACAAUCCGUCAGAGCACUUUUUGUGUGUGAUGGCGUGCCUUUUGAAGAAUGAGCCUGCGAGUCAGCGGCAUGUCGCGAGGUUAACCCGUGUGGGGUAGCCGUAGGGAAACCGAAUCCUAAUGGGGUGUUUAGUGGCAUGUCCUGGACCCGAAGCGGGGUGAUCUACCCAUGGCCAGUGUGAAGCAGCAGUAAGAUGCUGUGGAGGCGCGAACCCACGUAGGUUGAAAACUGCGGGGAUGAGCUGUGGGUAGGGGUGAAAGGCCAAUCAAACUCCGUGAUAGCUGGUUCUCCCCGAAAUGCAUUUAGGUGC